rnacentral:rRNA from 1 species
CAAUAGCGUAUAUUAAAGUUGUUGCGGUUAAAAAGCUCGUAGUUGGAUUUCUGCCGAGGACGACCGGUCUGCCCACUGGGUGUGUAUCUGGCUCGGCCUGGGCAUCUUCUUGGAGAACGUAUCUGCACUUGACUGUGUGGUGCGGUAUCCAGGACUUUUACUUUGAGGAAAUUAGAGUGUUUCAAGCAGGCACACGCCUUGAAUACAUUAGCAUGGAAUAAUAAGAUAGGACCUCGGUUCUAUUUUGUUGGUUUCUAGAACUGUGGUAAUGAUUAAUAGGGAUAGUUGGGGGCAUUCGUAUUUAACUGACAGAGGUGAAAUUCUUGGAUUUGUUAAAGACGGACUACUGCGAAAGCAUUUGCCAAGGAUGUUUUCAUUGA